rnacentral:rRNA from 1 species
AUUGAACGCUGGCGGCAUGCCUUACACAUGCAAGUCGAACGGCAGCACGGGAGCUUGCUCCUGGUGGCGAGUGGCGAGCGGGUGAGUAAUACAUCGGAACGUGCCCAGGAGUGGGGGAUAACGUAGCGAAAGUUACGCUAAUACCGCAUAUUCUGUGAGCAGGAAAGCGGGGGAUCGCAAGACCUCGCGCUCUUGGAGCGGCCGAUGUCGGAUUAGCUAGUUGGUGAGGUAAAAGCUCACCAAGGCGACGAUCCGUAGCAGGUCCGAGAGGAUGAUCUGCCACACUGGGACUGAGACACGGCCCAGACUCCUACGGGAGGCAGCAGUGGGGAAUUUUGGACAAUGGGGGCAACCCUGAUCCAGCCAUGCCGCGUGAGUGAAGAAGGCCUUCGGGUUGUAAAGCUCUUUCGGCGGGGAAGAAAUGGCAACGGCUAAUAUCUGUUGUUGAUGACGGUACCCGCAUAAGAAGCACCGGCUAACUACGUGCCAGCAGCCGCGGUAACAC